AGCGGCGAACGGGUGAGUAACACGUAGGUGAUCUGCCCAUCAGACGGGGACAACGAUUGGAAACGAUCGCUAAUACCGGAUAGGACGAAAGUUUAAGGUGCUUCUGGCACCGCUGAUGGAUGAGCCUGCGGCGCAUUAGCUAGUUGGUAGGGUAAAGGCCUACCAAGGCGACGAUGCGUAGCCGACCUGAGAGGGUGAACGGCCACACUGGGACUGAGACACGGCCCAGACUCCUACGGGAGGCAGCAGUAGGGAAUCUUCGGCAAUGGGCGAAAGCCUGACCGAGCAACGCCGCGUGAAUGAUGAAGGCCUUCGGAUUGUAAAAUUCUGUUAUAAGGGAAGAACGACUUUAGUAGGAAAUGGCUAGAGUGUGACGGUACCUUAUGAGAAAGCCACGGCUAACUACGUGCCAGCAGCCGCGGUAAUACGUAGGUGGCGAGCGUUAUCCGGAAUUAUUGGGCGUAAAGAGCGCGCAGGUGGUUGAUUAAGUCUGAUGUGAAAGCCCACGGCUUAACCGUGGAGGGUCAUUGGAAACUGGUCGACUUGGGUGCAGAAGAGGGAGGUGGAAUUCCACGUGUAGCGGUGAAAUGCGUAGAGAUAUGGAGGAACACCAGUGGCGAAGGCGGCUUCCUGGUCUGUAACUGACACUGAGGCGCGAAAGCGUGGGGAGCAAACAGGAUUAGAUACCCUGGUAGUCCACGCCGUAACCACGAGUGCUAAGUGU
rnacentral:rRNA from 1 species